AUGAAAGGUCACACAGUAAGUGUUCUAGAAUCAGGAAGCAAACCUUCCUGUUGCUAGGGCCUAUUGUGUCCAUCACGCUCUUUGUCCUCCCCACCCCCACCCAGUUGUCACCCUGACUCUUCAUGGCCAGCUUUGUCCUACAAAGUGUGGCACUGCACAGGCUUCCCCUUAACGGGGUGGGGGAGGAACAUCCACAUACAUUAGAGAACAUUCUGUUCUUCUAUGAACUACCUUUCUUUGGCGAGCCCUGUGCAUUUUGAAGGGUAACCGAAACACAACAGUCAGGAACUUGGGAAGCAAGAACUCUUGAAAAACUUGCAGGCAAUGAACACCAGCAAAUGAUAGGACUCAGAUGAGACAAUAAUCCAGUAAGUCAUAGGUCAGUGGAAGAAGGGGGAGUUUUAUCUGCAUCAGCUACAAUAUGAGAAUAUUUCCUACCCGGAAACCUAUAAGAAUUGACUUCCAAAUGUGCAAGAUGACAUCCCAAUGUGAAGACUGCAUUUCCCAGAGGACAUAAGCGGAAAUAAUAUGCACAACUUCUAAGUUUUGUCCUAACAUGGAAAAGGCAUACCCUUCACUUCCACCUUCCCCCUUUCUGCUAUAAUGGAUAUGGGUGUGGUGGUAAGUCAUCUUGAACCAUCUGGAUGAGGGCAACACUGUACGGAUGGCAGAGAAGAUACAAGGAAAGGAUCCUGCAUUCCUCUGAAACCUCUCCCCUGUUUGAGUGGACCAUCCUAGGACAGCCGUUCUGUGUGAUCCAGCAAUGGGUGCCUCCAAACAAGAAAACUCUAUGCAACAUAAGCCCAAACAUUUGGGAAGCCACAAAAAGAGCCCAGGAAGUUCAGGGAUGUAUCCUGUUUUUUCCAUGCAAGAAACUAAAGAUGGGUAAUAAGGAGGAGAAUGAGAAGCCUGGAAUCAAGCAGAAUUUUAAAAUCAUGAUGCAAGCAGCAUUUUAAGUGAAAUCAGGAGGGGUUUUGCCCUUCCUAUACUUGUUAUUUUUAACUAGUUAAGGAAAUGUAAGGGCAAAUGUAGUGGCAUGGGGCACCUGUGAACACUGCUGGCGACGAAACACCCUAGAGGUUUGUUUAUAGAGGCUGUUGUGUAUCUUGACCCCAGAAAACCUAGAGCCAAACUGGGGUUUCUUGCCCUGUAAUUAGCACAGGUACUAAUGUGGGCAGACAGAAUGUCUGCUCAGGCUUCCUAAAUUCAAUUUGCAUCGGAAACUCAUGGAAAAACUGGUCCCCCAGUUUCUAAACUGGGAGUCAGCGUUAUAAGAUGAUACCAAAAUUUCCUCACAUUUAUACAGAACUCAACAAGUUUCAGGACAGUCCCCAAGCAUUAUCUUAUUCGAGUCGCACAACCACCUUGUGGGGUGGGUGUUUUUCCAAGUUUAUAGAAUAUCUUUAGGACUUGAGAGGGCUUCUUUAAAGUGAGAAAAAUGGGUCAGUUCCUGCUUCCUUUGAAGAAACAGAUAUUGGCCCCUUUGUCUCAGUGGAUGCCACCUUCAUGCCCUAAAAAACAAAAACAAAAACAAAACAGUGAGUCGGAAGGAACAGCUCCUGUGGUCUUGAUAAAAACAGCUGUUCGGGGCAAUCACCUUUAUGUUCAGGGCAAUCACCUUUUCGUGAUUACUGCAUGAAACGAAACAUCCUGCAAUUGUCAUGGCGGGCUCCCCAUCUGUAAGCCCUCAGAGACUCAUACAGUUUAGAAUAGAAAUAAACUUAGGGGCGCCUGGGUGGCGCAGUCGGUUAAGCGUCCGACUUCAGCCAGGUC